rnacentral:misc_RNA from 1 species
GAUGAAGAACGUAGCGAAAUGCGAUACGUAAUGUGAAUUGCAGAAUUCAGUGAAUCAUCGAAUCUUUGAACGCAUAUUGCGCUCUCUGGUAUUCCGGAGAGCAUGCUUGUUUGAGUAUCAGUAAACACCUCAACUUCCAUAUCUUUUUUGAAAUGGGAGUUGGACUUGAGUGAUCCCAACGCUUUUCCUCACCGAAAAGUGGCGGGUUAGUUGAAAUGCAGGUGCAGCUGGACUUUUCUCUGAGCUAUAAGCAUAUCUAUUUAGUCUGCCUAAAAAACAGAUUAUUACCUUUGCUGCAGCUAACAUAAAGGAGAUUAGUUCUUGUGCUGACUGAUGCAGGAUUCACAAAGACAGGCUUCGGCCGACUUUGUAAACUCGAUCUCAAAUCAAGUAAGACUACCCGCUGAACUUAAGCAUAUCAAUAAGCGGAGGA